AGUGAACGCUGGCGGUAGGCCUAACACAUGCAAGUCGAACGGCAGCACAGUAAGAGCUUGCUCUUACGGGUGGCGAGUGGCGGACGGGUGAGGAGUACAUCGGAAUCUACUUUUUCGUGGGGGAUAACGUAGGGAAACUUGCGCUAAUACCGCAUACGACCUACGGGUGAAAGCAGGGGAUCUUCGGACCUUGCGCGAUUGAAUGAGCCGAUGUCGGAUUAGCUAGUUGGCGGGGUAAAGGCCCACCAAGGCGACGAUCCGUAGCUGGUCUGAGAGGAUGAUCAGCCACACUGGAACUGAGACACGGUCCAGACUCCUACGGGAGGCAGCAGUGGGGAAUAUUGGACAAUGGGCGCAAGCCUGAUCCAGCCAUACCGCGUGGGUGAAGAAGGCCUUCGGGUUGUAAAGCCCUUUUGUUGGGAAAGAAAAGCAGCAGGUUAAUACCCCGCUGUUCUGACGGUACCCAAAGAAUAAGCACCGGCUAACUUCGUG
rnacentral:rRNA from 1 species